UCCAUUGAACUUGUGAGUUUUUGCUUGAAUGUGUUUGCACGAUGUCAGAAUACCCUCCCAGAGCUGCUGUUUGGAUGUAAACUGCCUCCCACCCUCAUAGAUCUUUUGCUUGAGGAUGCUGCAAAGGUUCUCAAUAGGAUUGAGGUCAGGGGAGGAUGGAGGCCACAUCAUGACUUUCUCUCCUUUUAUCCCCAUAGCAGCCAUUGAUGCAGAGAUAUUCUCUGCAGCAUGAGAUGGUGCAUUGUCAUGCAUGAAGAUGAUUUUAUUACGGAAAGCAUAGUCCUUCCCUGGUACAGAAGGAAGAAAGUGGUCAGUCAGAAACUCCACACGCUUUGCAGAGGUCAUCUUUAUACCUUCGGGGACCCUAAAGGUGCCGACCAGCUCUCUUCCCAUGAUUCCAGCCCAAAACAUGACUCCACCACCACCUUGCUGACGUCGCAGCCUUGUUGGAACAGGGUGGCCGUCCACCAACCAUCCACUACGCCAUCCAUCUGGACCAUCCAGGGUUGCACGACACUCAUCAGUGAACAGGACUGUUUGAAAAUUAGUCUUCAUGUAUUUUUCUGCCCAAUGCAGCCGUUUCUACUUGUGAGCAUUGGUUAGUGGUGGCCGAAUAGAAGGUUUAUGCACAGUUGCAAAACUCUGGAGGACUCUACAACUUGAUGUCCGUGGGACUCCAGAGGCACCAGCAGCUUCAAAUAUCUGUUUACUGCUAUGUAAUGGUAUUUUAUUUAUUUAUGGAAGUCCCAUACGUACUCUUUCCCCAUAUGGUAGACUAAUGGCGUUCGGGAGUUUCAAACAGACGAACAAGAGGAGCAUUCUACAUGAAUUAGCUUUACUCCAUCUAUGGCGGUUUUCAUAUAAAUCCAUCUGAACGGAGACCGGCUUUUGCUGCCAAUGCUAUGGAACUCUUGGUCUGAUACAACCUCGUGGCAAGCCGGUCAAACUUCCA